ACCUGUUUCAAUCUCAACAAGAUCAGUUUGAGAUACUCUCAAUCAUUUGCAAGGUUUGUCUGUCUAUGUGGAAAGCUUUCCUGGAUGUGUGACGGUUGAAGGGCACUGGAAUAGGAUUCGCUCGGGAAGCCGCCUCACAGAUGUUUCUUUCAAGAAUAUCCACUGCAUGGUCAAGAUCUGCUGCACAUCUAAUUUCAGUGUUGAUUUUAGAAGAUGGCUAUUUAUUGUGUUGACAGCUGGAGCUUCACGAUAAUAAAUAAUUAGUGGAAGAUGAUCGGAACUAAGGUGAUGAGAAUCUUCAAUCUGAAGUAGUUCGCGACGAAUGCCUUUAUAUAUGGCGAAGUCAAUGGCGGAAGGCGAAUGGCGGGGAUUGUAUGGGAAGAGCGUGAGUUUCCCCACCACUGGCUUCGAGCGUUCCAGUCGCCUCCUAUGAUGUAGGCAUCCCCCAAGGAUAAGAACAGUUCAUGGAAAUCACUAUCAGACCAUCUUUGUUGUGGUGGGCAGUAGACGGAGGCAAUGUUAAUGGUUUUACUGGGAAGGAGAUUUAGCGAAACAACAGCACAUUGACAUCGCGCUGUAGGUGGAAUAUGGAGGGCAUAGUGCCUUAUGCUAUUUUUAAUGACAACUGCAACACCACCUCUUCGCCUAUUAGAAGGAUGGUUUGCUGUGUAAGCAGAGUACCCUUGAAUUUUAAUUGAGUCAG
rnacentral:misc_RNA from 1 species